rnacentral:rRNA from 1 species
UACGAAGGGUGCAAGCGUUAAUCGGAAUUACUGGGCGUAAAGCGUGCGUAGGUGGGUUGUUAAGUCUGAUGUGAAAGCCCUGGGCUCAACCUGGGAAUGGCAUUUGAUACUGGCUUACUAGAGUGCGGUAGAGGGAUGCGGAAUUUCCGGUGUAGCGGUGAAAUGCGUAGAGAUCGGAAGGAACAUCUGUGGCGAAGGCGGCAACCUGGACCAGCACUGACAAUGAGGCACGAAAGAGUGGGGAGCAAACAGG